UUAGCCAUAACAAGGCAGACACCAACAACCUCGCCCGCCAGAUUACUACGAGCAACAGCUUAAAACUCAAAGGACCUGACGGUACCCCACAUCAACCUAGAGGAGCCUGUCCCAUAACCGAUAACCCCCGAUAAACCUCACCACUCCUAGCCAACCAGUCUAUAUACCGCCGUCGCCAGCCUAUCUUGUGAGAGAAAUAGACAAAACAGCCCAACACUAAAACGACAGGUCGAAGUGUAACAAACGGAGCGGGCAAAGAUGGGCUACAUUUUCUAACUAGAACACACAGAGGGCACUAUGAAAACACACGCCCAAAGGCGGAUUUAGCAGUAAGAAAGAAACAGAGAGUCUGCCUGAACCCAAUGCUCUGGGGUACG
rnacentral:rRNA from 1 species